AUUGAACGCUGGCGGCAGGCCUAACACAUGCACGUCGAACGAGUGGCGGACGGGUGAGUAAUGUCUGGGAAACUGCCUGAUGGAGGGGGAUAAAUACUGAAAACGGUAGCUAAUACCGCAUACCCUCAGAUGUGCCCAGAUGGGAUUAGCUAGUUGGUGGGGUACCGGCUCCCCAAGGCGACGAUCCCUAGCUGGUCUGAGAGGAUGACCAGCCACACUGGAACUGAGACACGGUCCAGACUCCUACGGGAGGCAGCAGUGGGGAAUAUUGCACAAGGGGCGAAAGCCUGAUGCAGCCAUGCCGCGUGUAUGAAGAAGGCCUUCGGGUUGUAAAGUACUUUCAGCGGGGAGGCGUUACCCGCAGAAGAAGCACCGGCUAACUCCGUGCCAGCAGCCGCGGUAAUUC
rnacentral:rRNA from 1 species